UUUUGGAUAGAUUAAGGUUAUUUAUUAAAGGUAUUCUAAUAUUAUUCGGAUAAUCUAUCAUCUUAAGACACAAUACGACAAGCACAAUAACUCGUCUUGAUCGUGUGGUCGCGAGAGUCAACGGUCAAGCGCGGCCGGGCGGCCUGCGGGGCGACUUGCGUUCACGCAGAGCAAGCACCCGUGAAGGUCAUUUAGCUCGACGUCACGUCUCGAACACCGCGUCAUUAGCAAUCCGUACAACAGCCUACAUACAUAGAAAUACCAUUGUAAGCCACACAUGCAGGCAGGUAGUGCUUAUCUGGCGGAGCUCCAGUCAACACACACAUGUGUGCACAGGCAGUCGUGGUUACAACAGGCUAUUGGGCCGCGUGGUUACCUGCUUCACUUAAGUUCACGCGAUAUUGUAAAUUCUGUUUGUUCUGGAUAGUGUCCUGUUAAAAUGAAAUACGUAAUCUGUCGGUGAUUCUUUUAUGUUUACCCACUUAAUUUACUUAAAACGAUUGGUAAUAUCAUAGAAUAUUGUGAGGUGUUUUGUAAACAAUAAGAUGCCGUACGUAAUGGUUAUGGGCAGUCUUAGCGCGCCUCAUCUGUCGAAGGAUGAAGGUGCAACAGUGUAUGGACUCAAGAGUGAGGAGAGCUUCAUUAGUCAGGGAGCUGAACACGUCUUUCGGCAUGCAGGUUGCAGCAGCAUCUGAACCAGAACGAACUGUCCGUAUAACUCAGAAGGGACUCACUUUGGUCGUGGUGAACCGUCUGCACGCGUUAUUUGGAUAUGAUGUCGUCUCACACGCCAUGGCAAUGACAAAUGCCAAUCGAGAACUGAUCUCCUUUACUAUGUACAAGAAAACUAACACAGGUUCACAAGGUCACAGUCACAAUCAAGGUCACGGCCACAGCCAUCACAGUCAAGGUCAAGUUCGAGGUCCCUCCCACAAAAGUGCUCCCAAGCCUCACAGCAGUGUGGUCACGCUCUGAUCGUACGUGAAUGUUGAAUAGCAUUACUAUUCAAUGAACGUGCAUUGAAGAUGUGAAUGGACCUUUAUUGUAUGCCUGUUUAAAUCUAAAUUGAAUCUCAUAAGUAUAAAAUCCGUCCUUUACUAAAUUAUAGAGAAUAUAAAGUUACUGAGUACACAGUUAGUGCGUAUCUAUUGGUUAAGUAAUAAAUGUAUGUUUAAUAUCAGGGUAUAAAAUAAAAUACAUGAAUGAAUGUA